GAUGAACGCUGGCGGCGUGCUUAACACAUGCAAGUCGAACGAAGCACUUUGAAAGCUUGCUUUCGAAGUGACUGAGUGGCGGACGGGUGAGUAACGCGUGGAUAACCUGCCUCACACAGGGGGAUAACAGUUAGAAAUGACUGCUAAUACCGCAUAAGCCCACGGUACCGCAUGGUACAGAGGGAAAAGAUUUUAUCGGUGUGAGAUGGAUCCGCGUCUGAUUAGCUAGUUGGUGGGGUAACGGCCCACCAAGGCGACGAUCAGUAGCCGACCUGAGAGGGUGACCGGCCACAUUGGGACUGAGACACGGCCCGAACUCCUACGGGAGGCAGCAGUGGGGAAUAUUGCACAAUGGGCGCAAGCCUGAUGCAGCGACGCCGCGUGAGUGAAGAAGUAUUUCGGUAUGUAAAGCUCUAUCAGCAGGGAAGAUAAUGACAGUACCUGACUAAGAAGCUCCGGCUAAAUACGUGCCAGCAGCCGCAGUAACAC
rnacentral:rRNA from 1 species